rnacentral:rRNA from 1 species
CCCAGAGGCCAUACCACCCUGAAAUUCCCUGAUCUGCUCUGAUCUCAGAGGCAGCUAUGCAAGGUCAGGCCUGGUUAGUGCUUAGAUGGGAGACGGUCUGGGAAUACUGAGCCCCAGGCA